rnacentral:rRNA from 1 species
GUGGUUUAAUUCGAAGCAACGCGAAGAACCUUACCAGGUCUUGACAUCCCGAUGCUAUUUCUAGAGAUAGAAAGUUACUUCGGUACAUCGGUGACAGGUGGUGCAUGGUUGUCGUCAGCUCGUGUCGUGAGAUGUUGGGUUAAGUCCCGCAACGAGCGCAACCCCUAUUGUUAGUUGCCAUCAUUCAGUUGGGCACUCUAGCGAGACUGCCGGUAAUAAACCGGAGGAAGUGGGGAUGACGUCAAAUCAUCAUGCCCCUUAUGACCUGGGCUACACACGUGCUACAAUGGUUGGUACAACGAGUUGCGAGUCGGUGACGGCGAGCUAAUCUCUUAAAGCCAAUCUCAGUUCGGAUUGUAGGCUGCAACUCGCCUACAUGAAGUCGGAAUCGCUAGUAAUCGCGGAUCAGCACGCCGCGGUGAAUACGUUCCCGGGCCUU